GAUGAAGAACGCAGCGAAAUGCGAUAAGUAAUGUGAAUUGCAGAAUUCAGUGAAUCAUCGAAUCUUUGAACGCACAUUGCGCCCGCCAGUAUUCUGGCGGGCAUGCCUGUCUGAGCGUCAUUUCAACCCUCAUGCCCCUAGGGCGUGGUGUUGGGGAUCGGCCAAAGCCCGCGAGGGACGGCCGGCCCCGAAAUCUAGUGGCGGACCCGUCGUGGCCUCCUCUGCGAAGUAGUGAUAUUCCGCAUCGGAGAGCGAUGAGCCCCUGCCGUUAAACCCCCAACUUUCCAAGGUUGACCUCAGAUCAGGUAGGAAUACCCGCUGAACUUAAGCAUAUCAAUAAGCGGAGGA
rnacentral:misc_RNA from 1 species